GUGACCUGCAUUGCUUUGAGGCUGUGCCUCACUGUCUUGCGUCCUCUGUCACAAUAUGUCAUCAGUUCAGACAUUCACACACACACCCCUGGGUCUCUGGAGAAUGAGAAAGGAGGUGUGUGCUGGAGGAGUGUGUGUGUGUGUGUGUGUUCCUGCAAGUUCCCUGAGGAAUGAGGCCUACAUAUGCUACUGGGAGGGAUAUUGUACGUGAAGGAGGUUUGUUCUUGAAGGAAAUGGAAAGAUCUUUCUGAUGGAGGCACGUGAGGGGGUUGCAUAAAUCACACACAAACGGCUCUGCCUUUGAACGACAGGAAAUUUUCAUCUGGAAUUAGGAGUAGCAGCUACAUGAACAAACAUGAGUGAGAAUUUAGAGACGGGCUGAUGGCAGACGAUGGCGUUUCCUACAUCACUGGGGAAAUUUUUCACCUGGAUAUGUUGUCUUUCUGAUUAAAAAACAAAAUAAAACAAAACUUAUGUUUCCUGCUA